GAUGAACGCUGGCGGCGUGCCUAAUACAUGCAAGUCGAGCGAACAGACGAGGAGCUUGCUCCUCUGAUGUUAGCGGCGGACGGGUGAGUAACACGUGGAUAACCUACCUAUAAGACUGGGAUAACUUCGGGAAACCGGAGCUAAUACCGGAUAACAUGUUGAACCGCAUGGUUCAACAGUGUAAGACGGUCUUGCUGUCACUUAUAGAUGGAUCCGCGCCGCAUUAGCUAGUUGGUAAGGUAACGGCUUACCAAGGCAACGAUGCGUAGCCGACCUGAGAGGGUGAUCGGCCACACUGGAACUGAGACACGGUCCAGACUCCUACGGGAGGCAGCAGUAGGGAAUCUUCCGCAAUGGGCGAAAGCCUGACGGAGCAACGCCGCGUGAGUGAAGAAGGUCUUCGGAUCGUAAAACUCUGUUAUUAGGGAAGAACAAAUGUGUAAGUAACUAUGCACGUCUUGACGGUACCUAAUCAGAAAGCCACGGCUAACUACGUG
rnacentral:rRNA from 1 species